GUAGAUUUUAUAGAUUACGUUCUCAUAUUGGAACUUAAGGUGGAAGAGUCGGUGGAUCUAUCCUAAAGUCUAUCCUUUUGUUUCAUGGAUUUAUUGAGAAUACAGAGGAAGUCUAUGGGAGCGGUUCAAGAUGCUUGCCCAGAUCCUGUCAAGUCAAUGCAUACAGUUUCGUGAUGAACAGAAAUACAAGGAAGAACUGCAUAAGCUGCUCCGAUGCCGCAAUAAGUUUUACCGUCGUGAAGUGCAGC